GAGUUUGAUCAUGGCUCAGAUUGAACGCUGGCGGCAUGCCUUACACAUGCAAGUCGAACGGCAGCACGGGAGCUUGCUCCUGGGUGGCGAGUGGCGAACGGGUGAGUAAUGCAUCGGAACGUAUCCUGGAGUGGGGGAUAACGUAGCGAAAGUCACGCUAAUACCGCAUAUUCUGUGAGCAGGAAAGCGGGGGACCUUCGGGUCUCGCGCUCUUGGAGCGGCCGAUGUCGGAUUAGCUAGUUGGUGAGGUAAAGGCUCACCAAGGCGACGAUCCGUAGCAGGUCUGAGAGGAUGAUCUGCCACACUGGAACUGAGACACGGUCCAGACUCCUACGGGAGGCAGCAGUGGGGAAUUUUGGACAAUGGGGGCAACCCUGAUCCAGCCAUGCCGCGUGAGUGAAGAAGGCC
rnacentral:rRNA from 1 species